GAGAAAGAAAGAAAAUAUUAAGUUCUGCUAAUACUUAAAUACCGUGGUUAAACUCCACGGCUUCCUCG
rnacentral:tRNA from 1 species